rnacentral:rRNA from 1 species
GAAACCCGGUGAUCUAGCCAUGGGCAGGUUGAAGGUUGGGUAACACUAACUGGAGGACCGAACCGACUAAUGUUGAAAAAUUAGCGGAUGACUUGUGGCUGGGGGUGAAAGGCCAAUCAAACCGGGAGAUAGCUGGUUCUCCCCGAAAGCUAUUUAGGUAGCGCCUCGUGAAUUCAUCUCCGGGGGUAGAGCACUGUUUCGGCAAGGGGGUCAUCCCGACUUACCAACCCGAUGCAAACUGCGAAUACCGGAGAAUGUUAUCACGGGAGACACACGGCGGGUGCUAACGUCCGUCGUGAAGAGGGAAACAACCCAGACCGCCAGCUAAGGUCCCAAAGUCAUGGUUAAGUGGGAAACGAUGUGGGAAGGCCCAGACAGCCAGGAUGUUGGCUUAGAAGCAGCCAUCAUUUAAAGAAAGCGUAAUAGCUCACUGGUCGAGUCGGCCUGCGCGGAAGAUGUAACGGGGCUAAACCAUGCACCGAAGCUGCGGCAGCGACACUAUGUGUUGUUGGGUAGGGGAGCGUUCUGUAAGCCUGUGAAGGUGGCCUGUGAGGGUUGCUGGAGGUAUCAGAAGUGCGAAUGCUGACAUAAGUAACGAUAAAGCGGGUGAAAAGCCCGCUCGCCGGAAGACCAAGGGUUCCUGUCCAACGUUAAUCGGGGCAGGGUGAGUCGACCCCUAAGGCGAGGCCGAAAGGCGUAGUCGAUGGGAAACAGGUUAAUAUUCCUGUACUUGGUGUUACUGCGAAGGGGGGACGGAGAAGGCUAUGUUGGCCGGGCGACGGUUGUCCCGGUUUAAGCGUGUAGGCUGGUUUUCCAGGCAAAUCCGGAAAACCAAGGCUGAGGCGUGAUGACGAGGCACUACGGUGCUGAAGCGACAAAUGCCCUGCUUCCAGGAAAAGCCUCUAAGCAUCAGGUAACAUCAAAUCGUACCCCAAACCGACACAGGUGGUCAGGUAGAGAAU